GCAGCCGCGGUAAUUCCAGCUCCAAUAGCGUAUAUUAAAGUUGUUGCAGUUAAAAAGCUCGUAGUUGAAUUUCGGGGUUAGCAGGUAGGUCAUGCUACUGGUAUGAACUGGUUUCGCUGAUUCCUCCUUUCUGAAGAACUGUAAUGUCAUUAAUUUGGUGUUGCAAGGAAACAGGACUUGUUACUUUGAAAAAAUUAGAGUGUUUAAAGCAGGCUAACGCUUGAAUACAUUAGCAUGGAAUAAUGAAAUAGGACGUUCAAACCUAUUUUUGUUGGUUUCUAGGAUUGACGUAAUGAUUAAUAGGGAUAGUUGGG
rnacentral:rRNA from 1 species